UACACCUGGAAAACAGAUGCUAAUACCGGAUAACAACACUAGACGCAUGUCUAGAGUUUAAAAGAUGGUUCUGCUAUCACUCUUGGAUGGACCUGCGGUGCAUUAGCUAGUUGGUAAGGGCAACGGCUUACCAAGGCAAUGAUGCAUAGCCGAGUUGAGAGACUGAUCGGCCACAUUGGGACUGAGACACGGCCCAAACUCCUACGGGAGGCAGCAGUAGGGGAAUCUUCCACAAUGGACACAAGUCUGAUGGAGCAAACGCCGCGUGAGUGAAGAAGGGUUUCGGCUCGUAAAGCUCUGUUGGUAGUGAAGAAAGAUAGAGGUAGUAACUGGCCUUUAUUUGACGGUAAUUACUUAGAAAAGUCACGGGCUAACUACGUGCCCAGCAGCCGCGGGUAAAUA
rnacentral:rRNA from 1 species